rnacentral:rRNA from 1 species
ACCUGAAUCCAUCCCGAACUCAGAAGUGAAAAGCCGUUACGUCGAUGGUAGUGUGGGGCUUCCCCAUGUGAGAGUAGGGCAUCGCCAGAUU